UUAUUGUAUUUAUGGUUUAACGUGUUGUUGCUUUAAAUUUGUUAUUAGAUCAUAACCCGUGCUAUACAGUACGGGCAUUAAUAUUUUGAAUAAAUUAAAUUGUAUACUUUGUUAUGUUUGCUAUGUUUGUCAAAAUUAAUUGUUAUAUUUGUCAAACUUUAGUAAAAUAUAUUCAAAUAUAAUUAAAUUUAUUAAAACUUAAUAAAUUUAAAAGUUUUUUUUGUUUGGAGACGCACUAUCUACAUACAAAAUACCCGUUUCUAUUUUUUGAGUAUUUUUAGGGCCUGAAACUUUUUAUCCAAACUGACCUAAACCCAACUGGACGCGACCCGAACCGAAUAUUUAGAAUUAUUCUAUUAGGUAGUAAAUCAUAUACCCAUUAAUCCCAAACCCGAACGGGUUCUACCCGAACUCGAAUGGAUUACUCAUAUGCCCAGCCCUAUUCUCUGAUUUAAUUAUCUAAAAAAUCCCAAUAAAACAUAUGUUUUGGUGACUACUUUUUAUUCAAAAAAAUUUACAUCCUCUUCUGCCAAAAUCAUUUCAUAAGACAUCCCAAAACCCUUGGAAUAAUGAUUCCAUGAAUGAAGAAUUCUUAUCCCAAAACCCUUGGAAUAAUGAUUUCAUGAAUGAAGAAUCCUAAUUUGAAUAUACCAGAGGUUUUGAAAGGUUUUAAGUUUUUGAUAGGUGUGUAUCUGAGAAGGUACAUCCAUCGUGAUGGUAAUCUGCUUAUUUAUAAUUUUAACUUGCAUUAUACAGCAGGUAGUCUUAUAUUUUAGUUAAACUAAAAACUUUUAUUGUAAAGUUGAUUAUAAAUAUAUGAUAUUAUUUUAUUUGAUUUUAAAUGUAUAGUAAACUGCGAGUUGUAUAUGUUUUGUUGAUAUUAUUUAUAUUGUUUAGUGUUUAAAAUGAUAUACUUGUAUUUUGAUUGUUAAUUUUAGAGUUUCACAUGUAGUAUAUCAUCUUGUAUUAAUAUUGAUUUAAACCCGUCAAUUAUAGGAUUUUUCAGCUUGUAUUAAAAAUUGAAUCACAUCAUACACAUUAAAAAAUCUAAUAUGUUAUUAAUUAUUAUAGUAUAUAAGAUUAUAAAUUUUAAAAUAAUAUGUAUGAAAUUGAAUAUAAAUAUUCAAAUUAUGACACAAUACUCAGUA
rnacentral:sRNA from 1 species